AUUGAACGCUGGCGGCAUGCUUUACACAUGCAAGUCGAACGGCAGCACGGGUGCUUGCACCUGGUGGCGAGUGGCGAACGGGUGAGUAAUAUAUCGGAACGUACCCGGCAAUGGGGGAUAACGUAGCGAAAGUUACGCUAAUACCGCAUAUGCCCUGAGGGGGAAAGUGGGGGAUCGCAAGACCUCACGUUGUCGGAGCGGCCGAUAUCAGAUUAGCUAGUUGGUGGGGUAAAGGCCUACCAAGGCGACGAUCUGUAGCUGGUCUGAGAGGACGACCAGCCACACUGGGACUGAGACACGGCCCAGACUCCUACGGGAGGCAGCAGUGGGGAAUUUUGGACAAUGGGGGCAACCCUGAUCCAGCCAUGCCGCGUGAGUGAAGAAGGCCUUCGGGUUGUAAAGCUCUUUCGGACAGAAAGAAAUCGCACUUGAUAAUACCUUGUGUGGAUGACGGUACUGUAAGAAGAAGCACCGGCUAACUACGUGCCAGCAGCCGCCGUAA
rnacentral:rRNA from 1 species